CUUGAAUCUACAUGAAUGUAGGUGAAGAACCAGAAACAACUGAGGUCUGUCUACUGAAAAAUUGAAAAACCAAACUCUUGAAGGGACAUGCCACUUAUUUUACAGGGCAAAGAAAGUACUUACAAGAGUUAUGGUAGAAAUCAGACUAGGAAUCAGCAGAGAUAGCAAUUAGCACUGACAUCCCUGGUGGAUUUGAACAGUGUGAGUCUAUAGUGGCCACUUGCAUCCAAUUCAGUGACUUCCUGGAAGAAGGUACUGCAGCCCGGAGGUGAGAACACAAAAGGGAGGGGAGAAUUGACAUGACAAGGAGAACAAGGAAGCUGGAGGCAAAAAGCCAGACCAUGGCCUUGGGUUCAUGCUUGAGCACGGAGUUUAAAUGAAUGACUUCCACCUGAGAGUCCCCUCUGCCAAGUCGACAUGACAAGGAGAACAAGGAAGCUGGAGGCAAAAAGCCAGACCAUGGCCUUGGGUUCAUGCUUGAGCACGGAGUUUAAAUGAAUGACUUCCACCUGAGAGUCCCCUCUGCCAAGUCCAGGAGGGAUGGAGUAUGCCCUUCAUCUUCAACAUUGAACAGACUUAAUGCUUCUUCCCAAUGCAGAAUGGCAAAAGGAUCUAAUGUAAAUUCAAUACAGAAUGUUUUAAUAUGUGGCAGAACAACAGGGUGAUGGUGAAAAGGUAUGGAGAACAGAGAUCUAGACAUAAAUUAAC
ensembl:lncRNA